CUCAGGACGAACGCUGGCGGCGUGCUUAACACAUGCAAGUCGAACGGACCUUCGGGUUAGUGGCGAACGGGUGAGUAACACGUGGGUGAUCUGCCCUGCACUUUGGGAUAAGCCUGGGAAACUGGGUCUAAUACCGAAUAGGACCACGGCAUUCAUGUGCUGUGGUGGAAAGCUUUUGCGGUGUGGGAUGGGCCCGCGGCCUAUCAGCUUGUUGGUGGGGUAAUGGCCUACCAAGGCGACGACGGGUAGCCGGCCUGAGAGGGUGACCGGCCACACUGGGACUGAGAUACGGCCCAGACUCCUACGGGAGGCAGCAGUGGGGAAUAUUGCACAAUGGGCGCAAGCCUGAUGCAGCGACGCCGCGUGAGGGAUGACGGCCUUCGGGUUGUAAACCUCUUUCGCCAGGGACGAAGCGCAAGUGACGGUACCUGGAGAAGAAGGACCGGCCAACUACGUGCCAGCAGCCGCGGUAAUACGUAGGGUCCGAGCGUUGUCCGGAAUUACUGGGCGUAAAGAGCUCGUAGGUGGUUUGUCGCGUUGUUCGUGAAAACUCACAACUCAAUUGUGGGCGUGCGGGCGAUACGGGCAGACUGGAGUACUGCAGGGGAGACUGGAAUUCCUGGUGUAGCGGUGGAAUGCGCAGAUAUCAGGAGGAACACCGGUGGCGAAGGCGGGUCUCUGGGCAGUAACUGACGCUGAGGAGCGAAAGCGUGGGGAGCGAACAGGAUUAGAUACCCUGGUAGUCCACGCCGUAAACGGUGGGUACUAGGUGUGGGUUUCCUUCCUUGGGAUCCGUGCCGUAGCUAACGCA
rnacentral:rRNA from 1 species